AAUGAUCAAACCAUUUUAUAUUUGUUACAUGAAAGCUGAAAAAAAUGUCUGAUAAUCUCAAGUUUAUUUAUAUUUUGACCCUUUUUGUUUCUCUAUUUCUCGUUGUAGUUCUUGGUCAAAGUAAGCUCAUUCUCAUAAUUUUUUUUUCUUUAUUUUACACACAGUCAUUGUUCCAUUUUAGUAAUAAUUUUUUAUAUUUUUAUUUUGUAUUAUAGGAGAGUGUAAUACUGACGAAGAAUGCCAUAAAAAAUUUCCACUUGCUUCUGCACCAAUGACAUGCUACGAAGGUUAUUGUUAUUUCAAAAAUUCAUCAAUGAACUUUAAUGUUAAAAGAAAUUGAAUUUUCAAAAUAUGUUGGAAAUUUAUAUCUAUAUCCUAUAUCAUAUCCUAUCCUAUAUCCUAUAUUAUUAACAAAUGACACCUUAUUCAUGCAAUAUCGAUGCGUGUACUUUCCAUUUAUGCAUUGAU
rnacentral:lncRNA from 1 species